GGCGACAUGGCCGAGCGGUCUAAGGCGCUAGAAUCAGGAUAGCAAUCCUCAUCUAGUCUUUCGGGGCGUGAGUUCGAAUCUCACUGUCGUCA
rnacentral:tRNA from 1 species